CCUUGCAGGUGGGAAUUGACACGCCAGAACAUAUUACUGGCCUGAUUAUCUUAAUUUUUGGCCUCAUCUCGUCUGUUACAAGUAAUUGCUACAAAUUUACUAAGACAUGAUUAAAGUGGCAUUGAUGACAGCUUUGCUGUAGUGGUUUUAUCACCUUGUUUUGUUGCUUUUAGCUCAUGCUACAAAAAGCUUCAAAAAGGUGAAGAGAAACGGGAAAUGAAUGGUGUAAGAUGGAAAUCAGCUCGAGUACUAUGGUGAUAUCACUGACCUUUUGACAUUAAUACCCCAUUUCAGAAAUGUAGAUGAAGCCGUUGUAACCAUCAGUCUGUUGCGAUCGGUUGCUGAACUUGCUGUGAGGUUUUGAAAGCUUACAUGCAGACUGCGUGAAUCCUGUACUUUCAUUUUGUAAAUACUGAAUUUGACUGGAGUAGACAAUUGUGUACAGGAAUUUGUAUGAAAAAUGUAAGUUUCAGCUGUAAAUUGUUUCUUCAAAAAAAUGGGGAUGAGCAAGGAGGUUUGAUUCUGAUUCCCGGAGAAUGAUUCUCGGAGAUUCAGCAUCAAACAAGGAAUGAGGAGUUGGCACCAUGUAUGCCUUUCUUUUUUCCUCCUAAAAUUUAAGUCAUUGUUGGAGGGAGAGAAAUGGUUUAAAUAAGCAGUUCGGAAGGCCGUCUGCUGCAGCUGCUGCGGUAGUGGAUACUGAAGCCAAGCAGUAUAGAUCAUUAAACACUCAUCCUUAUUGCAUUUCCUGGAUGAAGUCAGUCAUGAAAAACUUACCCUGCCAGCUGAAAAUUUGUCAUGUUUACUGCGCCUGCAACUUUCCAGGGUGUAGAUAAUAUAUAUGUCUUAAGAUAUUUUGAACCAAACUUAUUUAGAAUAUUUCAAGA